rnacentral:tRNA from 1 species
GGGCACAUGGUGUAGUUGGUUAUCACGCCCGCUUAGCAUAUGGUGUUUGCGGGCGGUGCCCGGUUCAAUUCCGGGUGUGUCCA